AGAACGAACGCUGGCGGCGCGUUUAAGCAUGCAAGUCGAGCGGCAAGGGCCUUCGGGCCCCUAGAGCGGCGGACGGGUGAGUAACACGUGGACAAUCUCGCCCCCCGGCCCGGGAUAGCCCAGGGAAACCUGGAUUAAUACCGGAUGAGACGGGACCCGCGAUGGCGGGAUCCGGGAAAGGCGCUGCGGCGCCGCCGGGGGAUGAGUCUGCGUCCCAUUAGCUAGACGGCGGGGUAACGGCCCACCGUGGCGACGAUGGGUAGCCGGCCUGAGAGGGUGGACGGCCACAUUGGAACUGAGACACGGUCCAGACUCCUACGGGAGGCAGCAGCUAAGAAUCUUCCGCAAUGGGCGAAAGCCUGACGGAGCGACGCCCGCGUGAACGAAGAAGGCCGUGAGGUUGUAAAGUUCUUUUCGGGAGGGGGAACAACCGUGGCAGGGAAUGGCCGCGGGAUGACGUGAAUCCCGGAAUAAGCCCCGGCUAACUACGUGCCAGCAGCGGC
rnacentral:rRNA from 1 species